rnacentral:misc_RNA from 1 species
GAUGAAGAACGCAGCGAAAUGCGAUACGUAAUGUGAAUUGCAGAAUUCAGUGAAUCAUCGAAUCUUUGAACGCAUAUUGCGCUCUCUGGUAUUCCGGAGAGCAUGCUUGUUUGAGUAUCAGUAAACACCUCAACUUCCAUAUCUUUUUUGAAAUGGGAGUUGGACUUGAGUGAUCCCAACGCUUUUCCUCACCGAAAAGUGGCGGGUUACUUGAAAUGCAGGUGCAGCUGGACUUUUCUCUGAGCUAUAAGCAUAUCUAUUUAGUCUGCCUAAAAAACAGAUUAUUACCUUUGCUGCAGCUAACAUAAAGGAGAUUAGUUCUUGUGCUGACUGAUGCAGGAUUCACAUAGACAGGCUUCGGCCGACUUUGUAAACUCGAUCUCAAAUCAAGUAAGACUACCCGCUGAACUUAAGCAUAUCAAUAAGCGGAGGA